rnacentral:lncRNA from 1 species
AUGCUUUCACCAAACUAUGCAUUUGCUGCUUCUUACCAGUCUUUAUCAGCAUACCUUGGCUUCAAUGGAAGGGAACUCGAUGGCCUGGUUAGCACUUUUGUUUCUAUUGAAGAGUUUCCUGAGGCAGAUGAAAAUAUCAGGAUUGGAAAAAUAAUGAUUCCAAUAAAGAUAACCUACUCAAUCAGACGAGACUUUGGGGAAUUUGUCAAGGAUAGCCAAAAUAUUCUAGCAAGUAAUAAAUAG